ACUCUGGAUUUUGGCCCUCGCCCACUGAA
rnacentral:piRNA from 1 species